rnacentral:ncRNA from 2 species
CCACAACUUUAGGGGUGUCAGUACCAAACGGAACUGACUGAGAGGAUACCCUCAUUACCUGAUGCAGCUAGCACUGCCGUAGGGAAAAGUUAACGAGACGCG